GAGAGAUGGAGUGAAGUAGAGAGAAUAAACAACGCCGAGGCUCCGCCCACUUUGGAGUCAGGAAAAAGGAGGAUGAGGAGUUCAACUCAAACUGCUUGUUACAUCACAGGUUCUCCUUCAGUGAUGGACAGUUGAGCCACAGCGCUGCACUCUCCCACUUUAUUCCUGACACACAAACACAACAUCAGAAAUGUUUCAGGCUGCAGGUGUAAAACUUUGAGACCUGAUGAGCAGCGAGACGACGUCCUCCUUCUGCAGCAGUUCGUAGUCUCCUCCAGAGCUCAGCGCUCGGUUCUG